rnacentral:rRNA from 1 species
GCUAAUACAUGCAAGUCGAGCGGACAGAUGGGAGCUUGCUCCCUGAUGUUAGCGGCGGACGGGUGAGUAACACGUGGGUAACCUGCCUGUAAGACUGGGAUAACUCCGGGAAACCGGGGCUAAUACCGGAUGGUUGUUUGAACCGCAUGGUUCAAACAUAAAAGGUGGCUUCGGCUACCACUUACAGAUGGACCCGCGGCGCAUUAGCUAGUUGGUGAGGUAACGGCUCACCAAGGCAACGAUGCGUAGCCGACCUGAGAGGGUGAUCGGCCACACUGGGACUGAGACACGGCCCAGACUCCUACGGGAGGCAGCAGUAGGGAAUCUUCCGCAAUGGACGAAAGUCUGACGGAGCAACGCCGCGUGAGUGAUGAAGGUUUUCGGAUCGUAAAGCUCUGUUGUUAGGGAAGAACAAGUACCGUUCGAAUAGGGCGGUACCUUGACGGUACCUAACCAGAAAGCCACGGCUAACUACGUGCCAGCAGCCGCGGUAAUACGUAGGUGGCAAGCGUUGUCCGGAAUUAUUGGGCGUAAAGGGCUCGCAGGCGGUUUCUUAAGUCUGAUGUGAAAGCCCCCGGCUCAACCGGGGAGGGUCAUUGGAAACUGGGGAACUUGAGUGCAGAAGAGGAGAGUGGAAUUCCACGUGUAGCGGUGAAAUGCGUAGAGAUGUGGAGGAACACCAGUGGCGAAGGCGACUCUCUGGUCUGUAACUGACGCUGAGGAGCGAAAGCGUGGGGAGCGAACAGGAUUAG